GUAGGUGAACCUGCGGAAGGAUCAUUACUAUUAGCAGAUUUUCUGCUGGGAACGGAAAGCUUUGGAGUGCUUAGCAUUUUCAAAGGGAGUACGCUUUCUAAAAUCCUUGUCUUUUUGCGUACCCAUGUUUCCUCGGUGGGCUUGCCCGCCGGCUGGACAACUUAAUAACCUUUUAAUUCUCAAUCAGCGUCUGAAUAAUUAUAAUAAUUACAACUUUCAACAACGGAUCUCUUGGUUCUG
rnacentral:misc_RNA from 1 species